rnacentral:rRNA from 1 species
UGAGGAAUAUUGCGCAAUGGGGGCAACCCUGACGCAGCGACGCCGCGUGAGUGAGGAAGGCCUUCGGGUCGUAAAGCUCUGUCAAAGGGAAAGAAGUGUGCAAUGGCUAAUACCUGUUGCAUUUGACGGUACCCUUAAAGGAAGCACCGGCUAACUCCGUGCCAGCAGCCGCGGUAAUACGGAGGGUGCAAGCGUUGUUCGGCAUCACUGGGCGUACAGGGCGCGCAGGCGGUUUGAUAAGUCAGAUGUGAAAGCCCAUGGCUUAACUGUGGAAGUGCAUUUGAAACUGUCAGACUUGAGUAUCAGAGGGGAAAGGGGAAUUCCCGGUGUAGAGGUGAAAUUCGUAGAGAUCGGGAGGAAUACCGGUGGCGAAGGCGACUUUCUGGCUGAAUACUGACGCUGAGGCGCGAAAGCGUGGGGAACAAACA